rnacentral:rRNA from 1 species
GGGAAUAUUGCACAAUGGGCGCAAGCCUGAUGCAGCCAUGCCGCGUGUAUGAAGAAGGCCUUCGGGUUGUAAAGUACUUUCAGCAGUGAGGAAGGUGGGUAUGUUAAUAGCAUACUCAUUUGACGUUAGCUGCAGAAGAAGCACCGGCUAACUCCGUGCCAGCAGCCGCGGUAAUACGGAGGGUGCGAGCGUUAAUCGGAAUUACUGGGCGUAAAGCGCAUGCAGGUGGUUUGUUAAGUCAGAUGUGAAAGCCCGGGGCUCAACCUCGGAAUUGCAUUUUGAAACUGGCAAACUAGAGUACUGUAGAGGGGGUAGAAUUUCAGGUGUAGCGGUGAAAUGCGUAGAGAUCUGAAGGAAUACCGGUGGCGAAGGCGGCCCCCUGGACAGAUACUGACACUCAGAUGCGAAAGCGUGGGGAGCAAACAGGAUUAGAUACCCUGGUAG